rnacentral:lncRNA from 1 species
UUUUUUGGACAUAUUCUAGAUCUGUUUGUUGUAAUUGUUAAAAUGCUAUUUUUAAUUUCUUUUAUUGAGAUGAGAUAAAAAGAUGAAGAAGGUACGGUGGAAGUUUAGUUUUUGCAGAUCGAAGUAUGGAGGAAGAUGGGAUAAAUGCACAGGGAGGGAGAGAGAUAAUCUAUUGGUAGUGAAAUGGGUUGAGGGAAUUUUUUGUUUUGAAUCAUGCAUUGAUUCAACAUGGAGAUGAAGACGGUGGUGACCGAAAUUUCAGGAGAUCAAACUUGGGGA